GGCGGCGCCCCCGCUAGGGUUCAAACUCCAGCUUCUUCGAUGGCGACGACGCUGUUGAGGCACGAUCUGGACAGGGUUCUUCAUCGCACAACUUCGGGAGAGUUUCUCUUCCUCUGUUGCCAUGGAACGUGCUCACUGUGAUCGGCAGCGCGGAUUAGGGUUUUGUAUUUUGGACUUUGGGGUUUUGUUCUUGCGUUAUUAAUUAAGAAUUUUCCUGUGUAUCUGAAAUUGCAAUGAAUGAAAUUAGGGUUCUCAUCUUUAAUACGAUUUGAGAAAGUGAGAUUUGCCAUUUUUGAA